UACGUAGGGGGCUAGCGUUGUCCGGAAUCAUUGGGCGUAAAGCGCGUGUAGGCGGCCCGGUAAGUCCGCUGUGAAAGUCGGGGGCUCAACCCUCGAAUGCCGGUGGAUACUGUCGGGCUCGAGUACGGAAGAGGCGAGUGGAAUUCCUGGUGUAGCGGUGAAAUGCGCAGAUAUCAGGAGGAACACCGAUGGCGAAGGCAGGUCUCUGGGCCAUUACUGACACUGAGAAGCGAAAGCAUGGGGAGCGAACAGG
rnacentral:rRNA from 1 species